rnacentral:rRNA from 1 species
ACUGGGUCUAAUACCGGAUACGACCAAUCCUCGCAUGAGGGUUGGUGGAAAGUUUUUCGAUCGGGGAUGGGCUCGCGGCCUAUCAGCUUGUUGGUGGGGUAAUGGCCUACCAAGGCGACGACGGGUAGCCGGCCUGAGAGGGCGACCGGCCACACUGGGACUGAGACACGGCCCAGACUCCUACGGGAGGCAGCAGUGGGGAAUAUUGCACAAUGGGGGAAACCCUGAUGCAGCGACGCAGCGUGCGGGAUGACGGCCUUCGGGUUGUAAACCGCUUUCAGCAGGGAAGAAGCGAAAGUGACGGUACCUGCAGAAGAAGUACCGGCUAACUACGUGCCAGCAGCCGCGGUAAUACGUAGGGUACGAGCGUUGUCCGGAAUUAUUGGGCGUAAAGAGCUCGUAGGUGGUUGGUCACGUCUGCUGUGGAAACGCAACGCUUAACGUUGCGCGUGCAGUGGGUACGGGCUGACUAGAGUGCAGUAGGGGAGUCUGGAAUUCCUGGUGUAGCGGUGAAAUGCGCAGAUAUCAGGAGGAACACCGGUGGCGAAGGCGGGACUCUGGGCUGUAACUGACACUGAGGAGCGAAAGCAUGGGGAGCGAACAGGAUUAGAUACCCUGGUAGUCCAUGCCGUAAACGUUGGGCACUAGGUGUGGGGGACAUUCCACGUUCUCCGCGCCGUAGCUAACGCAUUAAGUGCCCCGCCUGGGGAGUACGGUCGCAAGGCUAAAACUCAAAGGAAUUGACGGGGGCCCGCACAAGCGGCGGAGCAUGCGGAUUAAUUCGAUGCAACGCGAAGAACCUUACCAAGGCUUGACAUACACUGGACCGUUCCGGAAACAGUUCUUCUCUUUGGAGCUGGUGUACAGGUGGUGCAUGGUUGUCGUCAGCUCGUGUCGUGAGAUGUUGGGUUAAGUCCCGCAACGAGCGCAACCCUCGUUCUAUGUUGCCAGCACGUGAUGGUGGGAACUCAUAGGAGACUGCCGGGGUCAACUCGGAGGAAGGUGGGGAUGACGUCAAAUCAUCAUGCCCUUUAUGUCUUGGGCUUCACGCAUGCUACAAUGGCUGGUACAGAGAGAGGCGAACCCGUGAGGGUAAGCGAAUCCCUUAAAGCCAGUCUCAGUUCGGAUCGUAGUCUGCAAUUCGACUACGUGAAGUCGGAGUCGCUAGUAAUCGCAGAUCAGCAA